rnacentral:lncRNA from 1 species
GAAGUUCCCAGGCUAGGAGUCAAAUUGGAGCUGCACCUGAGGCCUACACCAUAGCCACAGCAACACCAGAUCCAAGAUCCAUCUGCAACCCAUGCCACAGUUGCAGCAACGCCAGAACCUUAAUCCACUGAGCAAGGCCAGGGAUCGAACCCACAUCCCCACAGAGGCAAGGUUGGGUUCUUAACCUGCUAAGCCACAGCAGGAAGCCCCUGUAUCCUUUUUUUCAGAUUCCACAUAUAAGUGAUAUCAUAUGAUGUUUGUCUUUCACUUGAAUGCCCCCCAUACAUCUUACCCAAUGUGCUAAUAUUAAAAAAUCCAAGAUAUAUUAAAGGAAAAGAUGAAACAUGGAGCAAUUUAUACUGUAUGUUAUAUUUUGUACAAAAACUGGGUGAAAGAAGAUACAGAUCUUUUUUAAUAUUUGCUUUUAUGAGAAACUCUGAGAAGGUAUCACAGAAUCUAUAAUGGUGCUCACACAGUAGGGAGAAAAGCACUGAUGCUGAGAGCCUCCUAAAAUUAAUUUUUUUAAGCUUCCAGGUAAUUACAAUGAGCCCUGUUAGGAAACAGUGUGGUUUGAGGCAAACAAGUGAAAGGUCCUUUGUGGUGUCCAUUCUGGCAGGUGGAUGAUAACGGGAACUGAUGUUUGCAACUUUGUGAAAUCAAUACCUCAAUAUGAUGUUCAUGUAAAAUAUGAAAGGACUUAUGAAAGGCCUGUAUGAGCUCCUGGAGAGCAUAUCUAAGACAGCCAACCAAGGGAGGCACUUCCUGACCUCAUGUCACAACUAGAGAGGGCCAGACACAGGGAGACUCAUGCACCAAGCCAUGGGGAGGAAUCCCAGGCCUCAGGACAGCCCAGCGUGGUCUUUCCAAUGUCCUACUGGGUAUCCCUUUUCCUUACUGUCAUCAUGGGUAUUUUCCAAAGUGACUGUUUUGUGUCCACUUCCUCCUGGAGACACACAAAGAUAUGUCACCUGCCCAGUGUCUUGUGUGAGCUGUCCUCUCCCACCCACUCCAUCUGCCACACCAUCAAGUCCCCCUCUUAGCUCAAGCCACCAAGAGAUGCCCAGUCACAGAGCUAGUCAUCUGGGACUUGGACCAAGAGAACUACCUGUGAAAAGAAGAAGAGCCAGAAUGAUGCCCUAAGGGUUCAAUCUUUCCUCUCUAUUGUCAGAGGGUGGGGAGAGAGUAGUUUAGCCAAUAGCAGCAUCACCAGGGCCAUUGUGGAAGGAGCUGGGCCUAAAGUUGCCAGGAGGAAUGAGCAGGAUGGAGGUAGGGAGAUGAGGUCAGAGGAAAUGACCCUGCCCACUGUCCCCUGCUAUUGUCACUUGCCCCAGCACAGCUGCCCCCACCCCGCCUACCCAUGAACAAAAGAACACACCAGCACAAACACACAACACACCAGCCCACCCCCAUGUGCUGACAGGCACAUCAAGCACACAGGGAAGCUUGGUUCAGGCACAGAAGUCAGUUUUAUCCAGGCUAUUCUGGUCUUUAGUUGUACAGCUGUAGGUAAAUCACUCCUUUGGGGUCCAAAUCACUCUCUGGACCAGUUUCCUCACCUGGCAUUAACUCUUGCCAUGACCUUCAAGAUGCUUCCAGCACCCAACAACUUCUUACCAUCUCGCAGCUGCCACUCUGGUCCAAACCACCCACAGCCCUUUCCUGGAAGACUAGAGUAGACCCUUUACUCAUCUCCCUACUUCCACACUCUGCCUCCUGCAGCCUAUUUACUCAGCAGUCAGAGGGAUCCUUUUAGAGCCCAAGUCAGAUCAUGGCUCUCCUCAGCUCAGAGCCCUGUGAUGGCUUCCAUCCUCACCCAGAGCAAAGGCCAGAGUCCUUGCAAAGACCCACAAAGCCUCUGUGGUGUGUGCCGCUCCCACCCCCACCCAUUACCUCUCUAUUUACCUCCUAACUACCAUUCCUGCCCCUGGUUCCCUUGCCACACCUCAACCCCCCAGCAAGGGCUCACCCCAGGGCCUUUGCAUAUGCUAUUCACAUCCCCAGAAACAAAUACUCUUCUCUCAUACAUCCUCAUGGUUGCUGCUUCACCUGUUUCAUAACUCUACUCAAUUGUCACCUUCCCUGAUCACCUUAUUUAUAAUAACACUCCCUUGAAUACCCCCGUACAUCUAUAUCACGCGAGUGGAAUGCAGAAGUCCUUAUGUGUUGAUAUUUUUUUUAAUCCAAAAUAUAUUAAGGAGAAAAGGAAAUAUGGAAGAAUGUGCAUGGAAUGAAGGUGUUUAUUCUGUUGAAAUACUGAGCAAAGGAAAAUAAAAAUCUACUUUAAUACUUGUUUUUAUGAGAAACCCUCUGUUACCCGUUUCCUUUAUCUGCUUGAUUUUUCUUUGCACAGUUCUCAGCAUGUCACACAAUAUACAUUUUCCUGCCUUGUUUGUUUAUUGUGUGCUAAGCAGCAUGUAGUUUCCACAAGGUUAGUGAUUUUAGUCUGUUUUAUCCAGUGCUACACCUCCUGCCCCCAGAACAAGGUCUGGCACGUUUAAGUUUCUCCAAAACUAUCUGUGUAAGAGUGGAUUGGUGGAAAAGCAGAGAGAAGUGGCAGUAAGUAUAACAAUAAUCACUAGAGUCUCUUCCAGUGCCUGGCAGCCUGUGAUGUCUAUAAGUCCAGGACCCUGCAUGGCCAUCUCUCAGCCCACCUAGACACCCACUGGUACUCACACUGGCUCCUCUCAACUGGGCUGUAGUCAGAGGACAACUCAGCUACCCAAAGCCCUGUCUGUCCUAGCCUGAGUUAGGCAGCCUUCAGACACAAAAGGGAAGAAAGACAACCCUUGCCAACCAAGAGCUCACCCUCUUGCCAGGGUUAUACACCAAACCAAGACUUCUGGAAGACUACCAUAGCAAACAUGAGAGGCAAGCAAAUCAGAGAAGCAACCCAUCACUGAGCAGCAGAGAGGUGAGAUUUGAGCUGGGCCUUCUAGAAAAGAAGGCAUAAGGUAUUCAUCAGGGGCAAUCAAUGCCCAGGGAAAGUCAUUUAACCUGACUCAAAUGCUUUGUAUUUUGCAUUUGUCUUUUCUGAGAUGGGGCCAUGAUAUGGCUUUUACUCAGUCCAUCCACCACCUCCACUAAUAACAAACAAGACAGUGGAACUAUCCCACAGUUCUGUGGCUGUUUACAGUUUGUUUUUCUUUCUCUUUUGCUUUUUAUGGCCACACCUGUGGCAUAUGGAGGCUUCCAGGUAAGGGGUCGAAUUGGAGCUGCAGCUGCCAGCCUACACCACAGCCACAGCAAUGCCAGAUCUGAGCUGUAUAUGCGACUUAACGCCACAGCUUGCAGCAAUGCCAGAUCCUUAAGCAUCCUCACAGACACAGUAGGGUUCUUAACCUGCUGAGCCACAAUGGGAACUCCUAAGUUUUUGUUUUUAUAUUUGUUACUAUAUUCCCCUUCUCAAAAUCCUAUACAAGAAUAAAAGAAGAUGUUACCUGAUUUCUACAGAUGAGGAAAAAGAGGCAAAGUCAGGCUUGGCAACCAACUCACAUCACAUUGGGGUCACGUCCCAUUUCCGGCCUCAGUCAGCACUCAUCCUGACUAUCCACACUUAAGAGGAGAGAACUCACCUUCCCCCUUGAUAAGUCCUCCUUCUAAGCUGAGCGGUGGCCCCUAAGCCUUAAGAUUGGACCCCUAGUUUCUGAGCAUCACUACCUCCACCUGAGCUCACAGCGGGCAUGAGCCAUGGACUGAGAUGCUGCAACAGAAUUUCUCCUUUCAAAGGCUCCUUGUGUGGUGUCCUUAUGGAUGGAAAAGAAAGUGGAGCCAUGACCUCCAGAGGAGGAUUCAAGGCUGGGAGAUUCUCACUGGGCCAUUGAUGGGGACAGGUGAUGGACACAGAGAAGCACCACCCACAUCCCUCUUCAAGGACAGGUGGCCCCAGCUGCCUGGCAUGUGAUCAGCGGUCAGCCCUUAGCAGUCAGCCCUUCAGCACUACUUCAGCUGCAGAGAACCACCUCGAUCAAAGUCAUACUCUUCCAGGGGCAACCCAUCUGCAGUGACAAAGGAAGGUAAGCCGAUGAAGUCCAGGCUACCCUAGCACAACCUAAGACAACUCUGAGGAGUUAUUUCAGGUCAACAGCUCUCUGUGGAAUCACCCAGGCUGUGGCCAGGGGUGGAGGGGUGGAGCCCCUCAGCACAGGAGCUGGCAAUGGCCCAGAUACUGGGUCUGCGUGAGCCUGACCUUUCCCCUUGGCCAGCCUCAUGGGUACUGUUGCUAUGGCUCUUGAAUCAAUUCUCCUUCUCCAUCCUGCUCCCGCCCUCUUAGGAGAGCACCGUUGUCCUUUGUUUUGCAAGUUUCCCUCAGGAAGCAGAAGAUAUUGUUUACCAGUACGAUUCAUUGGAAUCCAUUGUUCCCCCCGCUGAGCCAGUUAAACAAAGACGGAGCAGGGUAAUAAUUAUCUCUUCCAGAUGGCAGCCAGCAGCCAACCUGGGGGAAUUAGAUUUCUCAGCCCGACCCUACUGGGGCUCCUAGGAAACAUUUCACCCUUCCCCUCAGUCUCCCCAGAUCAACUCAAGAGAACUCUGAUCACUGAGAAGUAGUCCCCACUAUAGGAGGGAAUAGGAGGGAAGAAAAAAGCCACCUUAGGGUCAAAGACUGGGAUUUUAUUCUCCCAUCACUCUCUUGGCUCUAAGACCUGAGGCAGCUCACUUACUUUCUCUCAUUCAGUUUCUUCAUUCAUAAGAGAAAAUAAUAUUGAAUGCCUAUUUUGUAAGGAGGGUGCUUUCAGCUGCAAGUAACCAAAAGCCUCAAUUCACAUUGGCUUAAGUCAUAAGGGAAGUUGUCAUCUUACUUAGCAAAGUCAAAGGCGAUUAACUCCAGGUUUGGCUCAGUGAUGCCACUAAAGCCCUAGUUUCUUCCCCUCACCCAGCUCUUCUUAUUCAAUUUAAUGCUUGCUCCCCUCACGUUCACAACCUGGCUGCCAAUGGUACUCAAGGCUACUUGCUUCCUUGUUCCCACCCGAGAGGAGGGAAAAACUUCCCCAGGAUAGGAACAAUGAAGCCUGGGCAGGAUGAACAGUGUCCUCUACACAUCUCAUCUACAUCACAUGUGUAGCAUGGUUUCUUCAUAGAUUAACCAUUUGAAAGCUCCAGGUAAUGUGCAAAAUAAAGCCAUCUAUAAUUGCAAGGUAUUGUUGUGAAGAGCAAAAUGAGAAGAGUAAAAUAAAAGCCAAGUCAUAUUGGAGGAUAUCCUUAUUUAUUGUGUGUGUUUUUUCCCCUGAGGCACUUGAAUCCUCAUUCCUAUGAAUCUAACAUGGGAGAUUCAUGGCUCCUGCAUUUCAAAAUAUUUAUAUAAUUUUCCCAGAACAAUUAAUUGCUCAAGUGCCCUAAUCCUACACACACACACACACACACACACACACACUUACUUCUUGGUGACUAACAGAGCCUCAGUUUAGUUGAAGUGUCAUCCUCUACAAGGCCAUAUACUUAGGAAAGGUAACCCUCCUCCCAAACCACCAGAGAGUCUAUCAUGAUUGGUCCAGGCCCAUCCCAAUUGUCUUAGUCCAUUUGACAAUGAUUGAUCUAAGGUGGACACGAGAGCCAAUCUUGGCCGGUGGAAACUGAGAAAGAGUCAGCCAGGGAAAUUCAGCCAAUAAAGUCAAUGGAAUGAGCUCCCAUUUUAGCUCACUUGGCAAGGGGAGAGGUCAGCUAUUCUCCAGUAACAACUCCCUGGGAUGCUCUAUCUUCAGAGCAAGGGACAUUCAUAGGGUUUUCUGCCAUUCUUUCUCAGCCCAUCACUUCUCAGGAGGCAAAGAUGCUGGGAUAAAAAGUUUAAGCCCCUUCCCCAAAACUAGAGUUCCAUGCCUGGAUUAUCAGAUUCUCUCCUUUACUCCAUGUAGCCUCACAUAUGAGUGAGAGACUGGAGAAAGGAUGAUGGAAGCAGAGCAGAGUACAUUCUAAUUAAGCUUUGUUCUCAAAAGCUGAGAACUAAUAAUUACACAUCUAAGACAAGUUGCCUUAAAGACAUCCACAAAGGUCUGAUGUUACUAGAGAAAAACUUCAAGGUACAUUCUGGAUCACUGGGCACACUAUCUUUCAAAGAAAACAAAAAGGAAAUCACCUAAUAGGGAAUCAUCCCAUAGACACUGAUAAAGUCCCCCCACCUCUUCAUCCUCUGGAUUCCUGCUCUCCAGGCCAAAUCCAACCUUGGGAACUUUCUGAGCCCAGCAGGCUGUAAUGAGCCCAACUGAACUUAAUGAGCUUGUUAUUAUUCAUCUCUGCCAACAGCCAGAGAGAAAGGCACUGCAUGGCAAAAAUUUUACACAUACACACACAUACACUAACUAAAUAAUAAUAAGUACAUCUUGACUCAGAUGUUGCCCAAUCAACCAAUCAAUAGAAAACAAACUCUCCUGAGGGCAUCUGACACAAAUAAGACAGGAAAGGGGAAUGGUUUCCCCACCCCAAAAAAGUGGGAUACAAUUGGAAAUGUUCCACGUUUCUAGGCUAAGCAUCACCAGCCCUAAUUUAUCAUCAUCUUCAUAUAUUCUUAUAUAAGUAGUAAUACAGAUCGCCCCAGCCAAUUAAUCAAUCUGUAAUUAGGAACUGACAUGAACAUUUACUACCAUCAGGCAUAAUUUAUAUGAUUACAGAUGAUUAAAUAAAAUGUAAUUGAGUGAACAGGCAAUUUGUUAAGCACAUCUAGACACAGCCAUAUCACCUAGGGCUGGAGGCGCCCUGACUCCCCUCCUACAGAGGGUCAGGAGG